AGAGUUUGAUCCUGGCUCAGGACGAACGCUGGCGGCGUGCUUUAUACAUGCAAGUCGAACGAUGAAGUUCCUUCGGGAAUGGAUUAGUGGCGAACGGGUGAGGAACACGUGAGAAACCUGCCUUUCAUUCUGGGAUAACACCGGGAAACCGGCGCUAAUACCGGAUACUCCGUCUUGGCGGCAUCGCCGAGCCGGGAAAAAAUUUUGAUGAAAGAUGGUCUCGCGGUCUAUCAGCUAGUUGGUGAGGUAAUGGCUCACCAAGGCGACGACGGGUAGCCGGCCUGAGAGGGCGACCGGCCACACUGGGACUGAGACACGGCCCAGACUCCUACGGGAGGCAGCAGUAGGGAAUAUUGGGCAAUGGGCGCAAGCCUGACCCAGCGACGCCGCGUGAGGGAUGAAGGUCUUCGGAUUGUAAACCUCUUUCAGUAGGGAAGAAGCGAAAGUGACGGUACCUAAAGAAGAAGCACCGGCUAACUAUGUGCCAGCAGCCGCGGUAAUACAUAGGGUGCAAGCGUUGUCCGGAAUUAUUGGGCGUAAAGAGCUCGUAGGUCGUUUGUCGCGUCGAUUGUGAAAAUCUGAGGCUCAACCUCAGACCUGCAGUCGAUACGGGCAAACUAGAGUGUGGUAGGGGAGACUGGAAUUCCUGGUGUAGCGGUGGAAUGCGCAGAUAUCAGGAGGAACACCAAUGGCGAAGGCAGGUCUCUGGGCCAUAACUGACACUGAGGAGCGAAAGUGCGGGGAGCGAACAGGAUUAGAUACCCUGGUAGUCCGCACCGUAAACGGUGGGCACUAGUUGUGGGAACCUUCCACGGUUUCCGCGACGCAGCAAACGCAUUAAGUGCCCCGCCUGGGGAGUACGAUCGCAAGAUUAAAACUCAAAGGAAUUGACGGGGCCCCGCACAAGCAGCGGAGCAUGCGGCUUAAUUCGACGCAACGCGAAGAACCUUACCAAGGCUUGACAUAUAGCGAAAAGUGGCAGAGAUGUCAUGUCCGCAAGG
rnacentral:rRNA from 1 species